ACGCUCGACACCUACUGGAGGCAGCAGUGGGGAAUAUUGCACAAUGGGGGAAACCCUGAUGCAGCGACGCCGCGUGGAGGAAGAAGGUCUUCGGAUUGUAAACUCCUGUUGUUGGGGAAAAAGAGGAUGGUACCCAACAAGGAAGUGACGGCUAACUACGUCANNGCGCGGAGUAUGNGNGGCGUGNGAGAG
rnacentral:rRNA from 1 species